CUGAAACGAGCUCCACCGGCGGGGAAAGAAGAACCUCUCGUUAUGUCAUCGUGGCGGCACAGCCGAAGACUCUGACCCAAAUCUGGCGGGGCGGGGCGGGGCAGCGGCUCCAAGAGCCUCAUUUCUGGCAGGCCGCAGGGAACAUUAAGGAGAGACGCCCCACAGAUAUAAACACAGCCCUCUUAGUCAAUCAGGGAGAGGCAUACCCGCCCCCGUCAACACCGGGCAGGGAGCCCAGCCACAGACAGCCACCUCACGGACGAGUCCGACGGAAAAAGGCACAGCAGGCAAACCCAGCGGUCGGUGCCUCCUGUCCGAACCAGUCAGGCGAGGUCAGCAACCCACUUCCCGCCACAACUGGCCAGGGCUCGCCCCUUGGGCGGCAGCCAUAAGGCAGAGGAGCCCAGCCUGCACCUCCCCACACACGCACACACCCUUCCACACACGUCUCUGCUCUCCCACAAAUCACUCCGGGCGCGAGAACGAGGUCUCUCUUCCCACAUAACCCGCGCGCACAAAUAUACACCCCCCCCAAUACCGGCAUCCGCACCUCCUCGUCCUGCUCCUCCAGCGAGGCGUCACUCUCAGGACGAAGGUGGCCGUCGCCGCCACCACUAGCCGAGUCCUCCUCUUCACUCUCCCGCCGGCGCUGCUGCUGCCCCUCCUUGCCGUCCACAUGGUGCCCUUUCUCCUGGUCCCCUGCGAGGGGAAAAAUCGCAGGAGUUGUCGCCGCCGGGCCAGCCACCUCCACCACCUGCCACUCGGGGGUCCUACGGCUGAGAGGGGCAGCCCGGAUGAAGCGGGUGAAGCAACUGCCGCCAACGCUGCCGGGCUGGCUGGCUGCGGCUACAGCGUCCUCCUCCUCGGAGAGAGUUUGGGAGCCUGACGAGGAAGAGGACGACGACGAGGAGGAGCUGGGAGAAGAGGACGAGACCCUCCGGCCGCCGUAAUCGCCCUGCUGCUGCUCUUCUUCCUCCUUUUUCUCAGAAGCAGCAGCAGCAGCAGCAGCCGCCGAAACUUUCUCACCCAUUGCCGCCCCGCUCAGUGCUGAGAAGGGACAACCACCACCGCUGCUGCCUGGGCGGGUAGGGGAAGAAAGUCAGGCGCCCGCCUCCACCGCCGGCAUCAGCAACGGCAGCAUCCUUUACGGGGAAGGGAAAGGAGCCGCGCCACACCGGGGCACCGCCUACCGCCUGCUAAAUCCUCCCUGUCCCGCCACGGAAACGCCGUCGGCUCAGAAGCUUGUCUUAAGGACUGCGGGGACCCUGAAGGGCUCCAGGAGAGUAGGUCUCUCCUUCGCCGGCCCCUGAGACGGCUCCUGCCUUCCGUGAACCUGCCUCCGGGCCAUGGGCGGGGAAGAUGAGCAGCCUGCGCAGCCAAUGGCGAAGGCGGCAGCGACGGUGGGUAGGCCCUGCUGAGGGAUGAAUCCUAAGCUCAGAAGCCAACGUGAGAGAGCGGCAGGUAGCAGGGGUAGGUAGGAGGAGCCGGGAAAGCUGUAGCAGGGGAGAAAAGCAACUCACAGAAAUCAAGGCUGCUAACCCUGUGCGCACUUACUUGGGAGUACGCCCCGUUGAACACGGCAGAGCGACUUGAGGGUAUAUAACAACAAUAUUCAGCUGCAAUUUUACGCAAAGUAUGGGAGUUCAGGAACAGUCCCAUGUACCGUAGCCCCCAGACGCAGACGCUGGAGUGGUGGAAGAAAAGGGAAGGCUUAGUGAGCUGGAAAGUGGAAAGGAAGGUUCCUCAUGGAGUAGCCUGCUUGGGUGAGACUUUUUUUUUUUUUGUGGCCAAAAUUUCGUAGUUAUCAACGUCGGGAGCCAUGGAGAUCACAAGACUGUGACAAAUGAGACAAGUCCUGUGGCCCACCCACAUUUGUUCAAUACUACUGGGAUAGAUAGACCAAUAGUCUGACUCAGCAAAAGAUAUUCCACUUGAUGUCUUCUCAAAGUAUUAGACUACAUUAUUUCCUUCAGAGUUGUAUAUAUUGAUUGAGAUCAUAAAUAUAU